rnacentral:rRNA from 1 species
AUUGAACGCUGGCGGCAGGCUUAACACAUGCAAGUCGAGCGGAGAUGAGGUGCUUGCACCUUAUCUUAGCGGCGGACGGGUGAGCAAUGCUUAGGAAUCUGCCUAUUAGUGGGGGACAACAUUCCGAAAGGAAUGCUAAUACCGCAUACGCCCUACGGGGGAAAGCAGGGGAUCUUCGGACCUUGCGCUAAUAGAUGAGCCUAAGUCGGAUUAGCUAGUUGGUGGGGUAAAGGCCUACCAAGGCGACGAUCUGUAGCGGGUCUGAGAGGAUGAUCCGCCACACUGGGACUGAGACACGGCCCAGACUCCUACGGGAGGCAGCAGUGGGGAAUAUUGGACAAUGGGCGGAAGCCUGAUCCAGCCAUGCCGCGUGUGGGAAGAAGGCCUUUUGGUUGUAAAGCACGUUAAGCGAGGAGGAGGCUACCUGGAUUAAUACUCUAGGAUAGUGGACGUUACUCGCAGAAUAAGCACCGGCUAACUCUGUGCCAGCCGCCGCGGUAACAC